AUGUUAGCGGCGGACGGGUGAGUAACACGUGGGUAACCUACCUAUAAGACUGGGAUAACUCCGGGAAACCCGGGGCUAAUACCGGAUAAUAUUUUGAACCGCAUGGUUCGAUAGUGAAAGACGGUUUCGGCUGUCACUUAUAGAUGGACCCGCGCCGUAUUAGCUAGUUGGUAAGGUAACGGCUUACCAAGGCGACGAUACGUAGCCGACCUGAGAGGGUGAUCGGCCACACUGGAACUGAGACACGGUCCAGACUCCUACGGGAGGCAGCAGAC
rnacentral:rRNA from 1 species